CAGAGGCACGGAAGCGGUGGACGGCGGCUCUUACCGGAGAGCCCCCCUCGGGAAGGGGGCGGUGAGGAGCGGACCGCAGCGCUGCGAUCGCGGCGCAGGGACCCGACGGCCGGAGGACAGGACGUCAACGAAGCCGAGCGGAGCGCGCCCCCUCGAGAGCCGGCGGACCCCCAGCACCGCACCCACCGCCCCCCGCGCGGGCCGAGCGCCCUAAGAACCGCCGGGGCACUGCGCAUGCGCCACCAUCCUCCCGGCCUCGCCCCCGUGGCCCGAGGGGCGGGGUUAUCUCUGCUCCCGCCCUGGUUGAGGAGGCGUAUGCGCGCUGCCGCCUGCAGGUAAUUCAAUACAGCUUGGAUACUGAGGAUAUGGAUGGACUGGAGCACCAGGCUGAACCACUAAAUCUGUUUAAGAGGAUCAGACCCUAUUUCUCCAAGCAAAUGAAAGUGAAUGUAUUUGUCUUCUCUGAGAAAAGAAUCCCUGGAAAAACUGAGGAUACCGUUUGCUUGGUGUUACCAUAAGCUACUCGUUCAUUUCCCAUAGGCACCGCCUCACCAUCCCAUUAAAUUCAGUCUCAGCUUCUGUGGACAUCAGGUGCUCUUUACUACAUUCCUCGUGACAGCUGGUUGUGAGCCCUGCAAUCAAAUAGGUGUUGCUGACGUGAGUCUCAAUUGUUAGUGUCACUCGUUAAAGUGUAUGAAGUGUGUCACCAAUUAAAAAUGACAUUUGUUAAAUGUGGCCAAAGCUCAUCUUAAGUUUCCAGGGCAGCCUGCAGUGUCACUGAAUUAUCUGUCCGUGAAGGCAAAGUUUCAUAGUUACAUCCUCGAGGAUUAAUGAGCGUUGGCCAAAGUCGGGACUGAAGUCAGGACUGAAACAUCUGGUCUAAUUUGUCCCUGAACUUUUUGAGUCUGUCACAUAAUGGGCUCCCAUUGACUGCACUUACUGGUGUCUGCAAUGGGAGAACAGACAUUGCAUUAAGCCAAGUGCCUGCAGGUAGGUCCGAGACGCUGACAGGGCUCAGUAAAUGGGCACUUGAAGCAUUCUGUGACGGCCAAAGUACAUUGCUGUGGCUACGUGCCUCCAUUCGACAUUUGUUUCCACCCAAAGACUUGAAGAAGUGAAAUUAACCUGUGUGCCUUCCUACCACCCUGAGAGGUGUCUGAGAACAGACUGCACUGCAGGAACGGUGCAGUCUUCACAAACAUUCAGUGCAAACACAUUGGCACGAACAGCACAGUGAGGGAGAGAUGCUUGCAGGGAUUUAUUCCAUGUUUUGCACUGUUUCUAAGGAAAACAUGAGAUACCUUGACCGCACAGCUUACACCACAGCCUCAUGCACAGCAGCUAAUAUUUCUGAUUAUGAUAAAAAUUCCACAACCACAAACUGCAAACAGCAUUACCAGCUGAUGACAAUACAAUUCCCUCGGGCCUCAGAGCACUUGCAGCCACCAAAGACUUUACUUUCAGCUUCAGAGGCCUCUGCUCCCACCCUAUGGCAUUUCCAGGCCUGGCUUUGCAUUGGCCUCUGCCUUUGCUGCUCAACCACCUUUUGCAGGGUGAGCUUAGGGGAGGAGAGCUCUGCAAAUUGCAGUUUCCCCAUGAGUGAUUCUUUUGUUCAGGCCCUUCCCCAGGGCAGCAGGUGUGGGAGGAAGGGAACGUGAAAGGGGAAAGAGAAAGGCUGAAGGUCCAGCUGAGGGGAGGAAACAGAAAACAAAAUGUGCAAAGAGCAAGAGGGGUCCGGGGCCUGGGCUUUAAGACUUAAUUCAAUACUACAUGAGGGACCCUCUGUCUUCAGGGAGAUGGACAGAGAUCAGGUGCAUCUUUCCCAUGUGCAGUUUUCUAUGAGCAAUAGAAGAAGCCUUGCUGCUUCUCUCGUGUAAAAAUCCACUUUCUCUGUGCUCUCUUAGCCUACCAGGCUGAAAUUCACCCGAGCUGCUCACUGCGGUGUGUGUGGAACAAAAGGCACCGCCCUGCUUAGAGGAAACAGUCUGACCACACUUGGAUGGUAAAUAUAGUUCCCCCAAGCUGCUGGUGAGGCAGCUGCUAAUGAAUGGCUGCUCUCCCUUCCUGGCCUCCUUAAUUGAGAGAUCAGAGGAAAUAACACCUGGCAGCAAACCUGGGGGCCACAGAGAUCUUUGAACCACCACAACCUGCAGCCACCGCCAUCCCUCUGCCCCAGCAGGACAAAGCAGCAUCCUUGGUAACUGCUGGAGGGAGGUGAGAUUCAUUAAAGUGGGCUGAAGGCUUCCCUUCUUUCUGUUGGGUGUGGGGAAUUCUGUGCAAUCCAGAGGGGACGGAGAGGAAAGGCAUCCCAUGUGCAAUCCUCUGGAUUGUGUGGGCUGUUGUAAAGCUCGUCCCCAAAUCCACUACAUCAUCCCAAAGAGCACUCCCAUCUUCCAGGGGAUUAAAACACGAGUCGAACAGCAGUUCGUUGUGCUCAGAGAUUUAACUUUCCAUUUAGAGAUUUCAAGCCAGACCUGGAGAAGUGUCAGACAUAGCAGCAAGGCUGGCAGUUGUGUCCUGCACAGGCUCCCCUGGAGCCACACCGGGGGUUGAUUCCCCUUCCCCAGAUGGAGUAUUUUCUGCAUGAAAAACAAAUAGAAGCCCAAACAGAGCCUCCAGUCGAUUGUGCCACCUCUGUAACAUCACUGUGUUCUGUUCAGCUUAGCCCUGGGCCCACAGGGCCCAAAGCAAAAGCAAACACAAAGGAGGGGGGAUCGCCCACUGCCGUGCGGAGGUUCCCAGCAGCGGGGAAUGCCGCCCUCUGCUGCUGGCGUUGGCUCAGGGACCGCUUCUGAGCCUUGGGGGCAUUCUGCGGACAAGAAGCUCUAGGAUCUCAUCACAAUUAAAACUUAAGUUAUGUGAAUCUGUGCCUGUGCCCUGGGCGGCAGGGCUUGGACUUCCAAACAUUCAGGCGAAUUGGACGUGCUGUCUGUCCUUAACCCGCGUAAUUUUGACAUGCUGGUACAGUUCUAGCAGGUGGGGGAGGAUUGUGUAAAUCUUGCUUGGAAACACAGUGCUUAUGCAUUAAUUUGUGUUCAGAAUGCUUUAUUACAAUAAUUAAUCAGAAAACUAUUAACUGCACUUGUGCCAGAUAUAUUUAUCUCAUUUAGCAAGUCUGGACUAAACACAGCCUGCAGCUAUGGCUGCAAAGUGACGUUUUAGGAAGUAAAUACAACACUGUGCUGAAGUUAAUAACAAAGCUAUACCAAAAAGACACCAGUUUGCUCAGUACAUUUAUUUAGAGCCUCUGCCCUCGUAAAGCGAUGGCUGUUUCCUAGGUGCAAAACCCAAAUUACGAGUGGAACAUCCUAAAAAGCACGACUUGAAUGUAUCCUACGGAGAGAAAAUAAGGAAAUAAAUAUUUUCGCUCUUAGCCGAUGAAAUAAGACUUCCUAGCUGUGUUGCCUUUUUCCUAA